GGGUGGGUACCGAAGUGGUUACCGGGGUGGCCUCAAGCUUUUCUUUGCUUGUUUCUCUUGAAAUAUAUCCACUGUGCUAACGCGCGCGCGAGUUCGAAUCUCGUCCCACCCA